GGCGAACGGGUGAGUAACACGUGGGUGAUCUGCCUUGCACUCUGGGAUAAGCUUGGGAAACUGGGUCUAAUACCGGAUAGGAACCGUCUUUAGUAUGGUGGUUGGAAAGUUUUUCGGUGCAAGAUGAGCUCGCGGCCUAUCAGCUUGUUGGUGGGGUAAUGGCCUACCAAGGCGUCGACGGGUAGCCGGCCUGAGAGGGUGUACGGCCACAUUGGGACUGAGAUACGGCCCAG
rnacentral:rRNA from 1 species